GUGGAUGAAACUUGGUGUUAGACUUCAUGAGACAAAGCCCAUUGUUUCAUUUAUUAGGUGCAGGUUCGAUUCCUGCCAUCCACG
rnacentral:tRNA from 1 species